GAAAUGCGAUACGUAGUGUGAAUUGCAGAAUUCCGUGAACCAUCGAAUCUUUGAACGCAAAUUGCGCCCGAGGCCUCGGCCGAGGGCAUGUCUGCCUCAGCGUCGGUUUACACCCUCACUCCCCCUUCUCGCUUGCCGAGAAUCGGGCUGUGGAUCUGGCCCCCUCGGUUCCUAGGAACCGGGCCGGCUGAAGUGGAGAGGCUUGAGCAUGGACCCCGCUGUAGGGCAAUGGCUUGGUAGGUAGCUCCGCUACACCGCCUGCCGUGGCCUGAGGGGACCUUGCUGGGAGCCCAGCAGGAAUUUCUGGGGCGGGUCACCCCCCCCCAGAAACACUCACACCUUCGACCUGAGCUCAGGCAAGAUUACCCGCUGAACUUAA
rnacentral:misc_RNA from 1 species